rnacentral:rRNA from 1 species
CCUACGGGUGGCUGCAGUGGGGAAUAUUGGACAAUGGGCGAAAGCCUGAUCCGGCCAUGCCGCGUGUGUGAAGAAGGCCUUCGGGUUGUAAAGCACUAUCAGUGGGGAAGAAAGCCUUGGGGCUAAUACCCUCGAGGAAGGACAUCACCCACAGAAGAAGCACCGGCUAACUCCGUGCCAGCAGCCGCGGUAAUACGGAGGGUGCGAGCGUUAAUCGGAAUUACUGGGCGUAAAGCGCGCGUAGGCGGUCUGAUAAGCCGGUUGUGAAAGCCCCGGGCUCAACCUGGGAACGGCAUCCGGAACUGUCAGGCUAGAGUGCAGGAGAGGAAGGUAGAAUUCCCGGUGUAGCGGUGAAAUGCGUAGAGAUCGGGAGGAAUACCAGUGGCGAAGGCGGCCUUCUGGACUGACACUGACGCUGAGGUGCGAAAGCGUGGGUAGCAAACAGGAUUAGAUACCCUAGUAGUC